GGGCCGUUAGCUCAGCUGGUAGAGCAGCAGACUUUUAAUCUGUUGGUCCCGGGUUCGAGUCCCGGACGGCUCA
rnacentral:tRNA from 1 species